CAACUCGGCUGCAUGAAGCCGGAAUCGCUAGUAAUCGCGGAUCAGAAUGCCGCGGUGAAUACGUUCCCGGGUCUUGUACACACCGCCCGUCACACCAUGGGAGUCGGGAAUGCCCGAAGUCGGAGAGCUAACGAAAGAGGCAGCCGCCGAAGGCAGGCCCGGUAACUGGGGUGAAGUCGUAACAAGGUAUC
rnacentral:rRNA from 1 species